AUGGUCCACGCGUACCCUCCGGUUCUGAGCACGCCGUCCACACCCACCUGACGAUUGCUCGCUACGGUUUGUUCGCC
rnacentral:sRNA from 2 species